AUUUUUUGAUCCCUCAACUCACUGGAUCUCCAUUAGUAUCCUGUAAGUGACACCACUUGAAGGAGGAAUGCAAGAUCUGGGGGAACAAAGAGCAGUGUUGGCUAACCAUGCUUCUACAGCCCACAAGUGACGGCACUCAUCGUCAUGAUCUAUCAAUAAAGGCUUCGGGAGUUGCCAGAAUAUGCAACCAAGAGGCAAAAGAGACAGACUGAAAGGUCCACAUGCUGUUCACAGAGACAGGACACACAGAGAAAAUGAGGAAUGUUCAUCCCAGAAC